rnacentral:lncRNA from 1 species
AAGUUUCCUGCCUUUGUAACCAUAAACUUCUGAUUUUUCAUCUGUGAAGUGCAGACAAAAAUGUCUGCUUCACAUACAUAUCAUAUAUUUAUUUAGACCACCUGCAUAAUGUGUGGCAUAUAUUAGGCAUAUAUUAGGUACUCAAUAAGUACCUCCCUGCAGAAAUGUAAUGAAUUUGAAGUCAAGAUUACCACUGCUAUGGCUGAUGGUUACACAAGGAGAAAUAAUCAUUGCUGAUGUACAAGGGUCUCAGGGCAGCCUCCACUGGUCCUCCAUAGGUGGGUCUAACACGACAGACCAAGAAAGGAAUUUAUCACUCACAGCAGCUACAAAAACAGUAACACAUAGCAAUCUUUAUAAGCCUACGAAAAUGUGAGAUUAUUCUGAGUAAAGUUUUAAAACAUCACUGAGGAACACAAAAGACUGAACAUGGCAAGGUUACCUAGUUCUUGGACUCGAUGGUUUAGUCAUCAGGAAAAUGUCAAUUCUGUUAACUGAUUCUGCCACCAAAUAGAGGAGGGAUUAAAUUGUAGUACAACGAAAAAACGAGAGAAAAAAGUGUGUGUGUGCAUGUAUAAAACCUCCGGUGAGAGGUAAUAAAUACGAUUAUAUGCUUCAUCCCCAGGGAAGACAAGUGAGGUGUGCCUAAAGGAUGGGGAUAAGAGAAAAACUAUAAUAUAUGCCCUUUGGAACUUUUUGAAUUCUGAAUCUACUGAAAUUAUUUAUUCAAUAUUUACAAAUACAAUUUAAAAAGUUCUUCUGCCUUUUUGUGUCCUCUUUCCACAUGGGAGAAAUUAAACAUAUAUACGAGAGGUGUCA